GCCCGGGUGGCGGAACCGGCAGACGCGUCGGACUCAAAAUCCGAUGGGCUUCGGCCCUUGAGGGUUCGAGUCCCUCCCCGGGCA
rnacentral:tRNA from 1 species